ACCUUGCUGACGAGUGCCAAAUAACACGGAACCCGGGUCCAUGGU
rfam:Schistosoma curassoni strain Dakar, Senegal genome assembly, scaffold: SCTD_scaffold0000058